GUGGGGAAUCUUGCGCAAUGGGCGAAAGCCUGACGCAGCCAUGCCGCGUGGAUGAUGAAGGUCUUAGGAUUGUAAAAUCCUUUCACCGGUGAAGAUAAUGACUGUAGCCGGAGAAGAAGCCCCGGCUAACUUCGUGCCAGCAGCCGCGGUAAUACGAAGGGGGCUAGCGUUGCUCGGAAUUACUGGGCGUAAAGGGCGCGUAGGCGGACAGCUUAGUCAGAGGUGAAAGCCCAGGGCUCAACCUUGGAAUUGCCUUUGAUACUGGCUGUCUUGAGUUUGGGAGAGGUGAGUGGAACUCCGAGUGUAGAGGUGAAAUUCGUAGAUAUUCGGAAGAACACCAGUGGCGAAGGCGACUCACUGGCCCAAUACUGACGCUGAGGCGCGAAAGCGUGGGGAGCAAACAGGAUUAGAUACCCGGGUAGUCC
rnacentral:rRNA from 1 species